rnacentral:rRNA from 1 species
CUAUGCGCCUUGCCAGCCCGCUCAGGUGUGCCAGCCACCGCGGUAAUACGUAGGAGGCAAGCGUUAUCCGGAUUUAUGGGUUUAAAGGGUGCGUAGGCGGAUUUUAAGUCAGCGGUAAAAUGUCCGGGCUCAACCCGGGCCGGCCGUUGAAACUGGGGAUCUUGAGUGGGCGAGAAGUAUGCGGAAUGCGUGGUGUAGCGGUGAAAUGCAUAGAUAUCACGCAGAACUCCGAUUGCGAAGGCAGCAUACCGGCGCCCGACUGACGCUGAGGCACGAAAGCGUGGGGAUCGAACAGG